UCGAGAAUUUUUCUCAAUGGGGGAAACCCUGAAGGAGCGACGCCGCGUGGAGGAUGAAGGUCUUCGGAUUGUAAACUCCUGUCAUUUGGGAACAAUGUGCAUGGGUUAACUGCUCAUGCAUUGAUAGUACCAGAAGAGGAAGAGACGGCUAACUCUGUGCCAGCAGCCGCGGUAAUACAGAGGUCUCAAGCGUUGUUCGGAUUCAUUGGGCGUAAAGGGUGCGUAGGUGGCGGGGCAAGUCAGGUGUGAAAUCUCGGGGCUCAACCCCGAAACUGCACUUGAUACUGCCUUGCUCGAGUACUGGAGAGGAGACUGGAAUUUACGGUGUAGCAGUGAAAUGCGUAGAUAUCGUAAGGAAGACCAGUGGCGAAGGCGAGUCUCUGGACAGUCACUGACACUGAGGCACGAAGGCCAGGGGAGCAAACGG
rnacentral:rRNA from 1 species